GAUCGAUCGGCAGCACACGAUCCGAAUGGCUCCCAAGCUCACACACAAGCACAUCCAUCUCCCAGCUUUUUCAAAGAUGAGAGUGAGCUUGGCCACUCAGAUAUUCAGCCAUUCAGUCUCUGCUGGAAUCUCUGCAAUGGUCACACUCAACAGACUCCCACCUGAGGCCAAGGGCACCGCGGACUUCAUUGACAAAGUCAACAGACUUUUUGACGUCCUAAAUUCAAGAUCUGUUAGGGACUCUAACCCGUGGAGGAGGCCCCUUGGUGCUGGAAAUCAGGAGAAGGAGACCUUCCUGGCCAGCUCCAUGGGUUGGAUAGCAGGAUGGCAGUUCAGGUCCAAGCGCAAACCUCCUUGCCAGAAUGGCUUGAUCACCACCAUCAGGAGCAUUCUGUACAUUGCAAAGCAAUGUACCACAGCUGCUGGCCUGAAAUAUUUGUGC